AUGCUAUGUGGUUCGUCAGGACAGUGUAGUUAACAAAUUGUCAGCCAACAUAACGUGUAAGGUAACUUACUUGAAAAGUCAUUACUUUAUUGCAUUGAGUAGCAAGCUACCGCUGUGAUGGAUGAUGGAUUUCGGGCAAGAAGAUUGAGGGUUAGAAACCUGCUCCCUGCUUGUUUCAUUUGAAGUUGUGCACAAUUAUCAGUUUAUUAUUUGGUUUAUAUCGCCCAUUCAUUGUCAGUUAGAGACACAGUAGUGCAUUGGGACCCAAAAGCAUAAUCAGUGCUCUAACUCCCCCUUGGUCGUUAGGGAAAAUCUGUGAUAGGACGGGGGGGGUUUCACAUCAAGCUAGGAUAUUAGACUAUUCUUUAGUUAUGGUUGAAUAGUAUUUUGUUCAGCUAUUAGCCCCCCUCCCCAACUUGCAAAGAAUGGAUGUGUUUUUGUUGAGAGAAAAACUUUUUAAUUUUCAAUCAGAAUUUUUUUUUCUGAAAGCAACUUUAUUUUCAAUCAAAAAAAAGUUUUAAAUUUUUUUGCAAUAAAAUAUUGUGUAAUAGAGCGCAAAACUUCAUGCAUUUUAUUCCCCAAAAAUAUUUUGAGAACAAGAAUUGUAUUUGAAAACUAAACUCUCUCGUCCACAUUGAUACGAAUCAUAAAUUCAUAAGGUACUGAGAUGUUGUGGUAAACUGUGGGGUGUUGGGUUGAGCGUGCAGAGAUUGACACAGAGACAGGGAGGUUUUAGUCCGCAAAAACAACUUUACUAAGACAGAAAAUAAACAUAACAAAGAAAAUCACUGAGGUUUGGCUCGGUCCUUCUUCUCAACUGUGGCUUGGUGUCGGUCUCUCCCAGUUCUCUCUCACGGUGUGCCACAGUGCUCCUUUUAUUUGGCCUCCACGGCUGGUUGGCACUUUCCCCUAAUUACCUCCACCUAGAGCUGUCCAUGUCGGGGUGCCCAGCUCCCGUAUUCCCAGCAGAGGGAGCCAACGUCGCCUCACGUACCUCCCCUCUAUUACCAUUCCCCGGGGUAGACCUCCUGGGAUACCUCAAUGUAUAAUGUCUCCAUCAAAUCUAAGAAGUUAUUUAAACUUUUUUAUUCUUACUUAUUCAUAGACUUUUUUUAGAUGAUGUAUGAAAUUGGAGUUGUUCUUCAUCAACUGGUAAUACAUAAAUAAUGAAGCAGGUUAAUAGGUUAAACAUUUAACUUUUAAUUCCAAAACUUUUUUCAAGAUACAACAUUGUCAUCUUUGGCGGUAUAGAUGGAUUUUCAAGGAAGAGUGCGAGCUGAUCAAGGGGUCGAAAAUGUAGAUAUUGCCAGAUGCUCACUGUCCG
rnacentral:lncRNA from 1 species